rnacentral:rRNA from 1 species
GAUGAACGCUGGCGGCGUGCUUAACACAUGCAAGUCGAACGGAAAGGCUCCUGCUUGCAGGGGUACUCGAGUGGCGAACGGGUGAGUAACACGUGGGUGAUCUGCCCUGCACUUCGGGAUAAGCCUGGGAAACUGGGUCUAAUACCGGAUAGGACGAUGGUUUGGAUGCCAUUGUGGAAAGUUUCUUCGGUGUGGGAUGAGCUCGCGGCCUAUCAGCUUGUUGGUGGGGUAAUGGUCUACCAAGGCGUCGACGGGUAGCCGGCCUGAGAGGGUGUACGGCCACAUUGGGACUGAGAUACGGCCCAGACUCCUACGGGAGGCAGCAGUGGGGAUUAUUGCACAAUGGGCGCAAGCCUGAUGCAGCGACGCCGCGUGGGGGAUAACGGCCUUCGGGUUAUAAACUCCUUUCGCUAGGGACGAAGCGCAAGUGACGGUACCUGGAGAAGAAGCACCGGCUAACUACGUG